AUUGGGACAUAUCUCUGAGCCCGUGACCUAAGUGAUAUGACUCUCUUCCCCUGCCUGGGCCUUUAAAAUGGUGGGAUUGUGACAUACUGCUGAGCCCAGCAUUUAGAAGACAUGGCACCAUGUUUCUUGAGGCUAUACCAAGGUGAUGUGACUCUUCUGACCUGGCCCUGCCUGCGAAGGAGAUUAUAAUACAUCCCGAAUUCAGAAUCCAGGUGAUAUUGUGCCAUAUACCUGAGACCAGAUAAGAGGACUAAUCAUGACUCUUAAACCUGGAGCCAAGUCAUAUGCAAGAUGGUGACUCCAAUUCCUGGAACCUUCCACCAGUGUUUUUGUGACCUAUACCUUCACCCAGCUCCUGAGUGAUUUAAUAAUCCGGCCCAGGUGUAGCCCACAAAUGAGAUUUGGACAUUUGCCUCAGCUGAGCGCCUUGGUGAUUUGACUCUCCUGUCUUAACAAUAUCCUCAGGAAGGAUUGUAACAUGUAUCUGGACCCAUCAUCUAGUUGCCUGACUCUCCUCUCCUGCCUGGACCCUGCUUCCACUGGGGAUUGUAACAUUUCUAAGCACUUUAUCCAAAA
ensembl:lncRNA novel transcript